CCGGGCCCGCGCCCGCCGAAGACCCCAACAUGAACGCUGUUCUGAAAGUAUGCAGUCUGAGUUGAUUAUCGUAAUCAGUUAAAACUUUCAACAACGGAUCUCUUGGUUCCGGCAUCGAUGAAGAACGCAGCGAAAUGCGAUAAGUAAUGUGAAUUGCAGAAUUCAGUGAAUCAUCGAGUCUUUGAACGCACAUUGCGCCCCCUGGUAUUCCGGGGGGCAUGCCUGUCCGAGCGUCAUUGCUGCCCUCAAGCACGGCUUGUGUGUUGGGCCCCCGUCCCCCUCUCCCGGGGGACGGGCCCGAAAGGCAGCGGCGGCACCGCGUCCGGUCCUCGAGCGUAUGGGGCUUUGUCACCUGCUCUGUAGGCCCGGCCGGCGCCAGCCGACACCCAACUUUAUUUUUCUAAGGUUGACCUCGGAUCANGUAGGGAUACCCGCUGAACUUAAGCAUAUCAAUAA
rnacentral:rRNA from 1 species